UUUCCGUGGGUGAACCUGCGGAAGGAUCAUUAAUGUGUUUGGGCCUCACGGCUCUUCAUUCCGACGCUGUGCGCCUUCGGGCUGCACGCGGGGGGAGCAUAUAUCCACCCCUGUGCACACACACGGUGGCGAGCUGGGUAACGGCUCGCCGCUGAUCUUUACACACGUCUAAAAGUCAUUGUAUGUCUAUUUGAGAUAAAAACACAACUUUCAGCAACGGAUCUCUUGGCUCUC
rnacentral:misc_RNA from 1 species